rnacentral:rRNA from 1 species
AACGAACGCUGGCGGCAGGCCUAACACAUGCAAGUCGAGCGCCCUUUCGGGGGAGCGGCGGACGGGUGAGUAACGCGUGGGAAUAUGCCCUUCUCUACGGAAUAGCCUCGGGAAACUGAGAGUAAUACCGUAUACGCCCUUUGGGGGAAAGAUUUAUCGGGGAAGGAUUAGCCCGCGUUGGAUUAGGUAGUUGGUGGGGUAAUGGCCUACCAAGCCGACGAUCCAUAGCUGGUUUGAGAGGAUGAUCAGCCACACUGGGACUGAGACACGGCCCAGACUCCUACGGGAGGCAGCAGUGGGGAAUCUUAGACAAUGGGGGCAACCCUGAUCUAGCCAUGCCGCGUGAGUGAUGAAGGCCUUAGGGUUGUAAAGCUCUUUCAGCUGGGAAGAUAGUGACGGUGCCAGCAGAAGAAGCCCCGGCUAACUCCGUG